ACUUUUCUUUCACGACUAUAAAAAUAUUUUAGCAAUUUAUUUCACAAAAUCAAUUGCACACAUUUAAAAUAAAGUUUGUUUACACUUUGACAGCAAUAGACUGACAUGCAAGGUGACAUGUCAAUGAAGUUUUCAGUUACUGUUGCCAUUAAAAGAAAUUAGUACCAUUAGUUUUCCGCAACAUGGCGAGGGUUUUUAUGUUCCUGGUCAGGCUAUAAAUACAAAACAAAAUAUAAAAAAAAAAAAGGUAGACCUAAAAUAUUACAUUUACAAAAUAUUUAUAAAGAUAAACUCCACAAUUGUUCCAAGUGCACUAAACAAAAUAACGAGACCAGAACACAAUCAGUUAACGGUAUAAUUAUUAAAUAAAAAAUAAAAAAACGGUAUAACGUUUUCACUAUAAAAAAUAACUAUAAUACUUAUGUGAUCUGUGAGGCGGCUUCGGACUGCCGACCUGUCGUUGUGUUGAUUCGGACCGUAAAAAAGAGAAAAGAACAAUAAAAAAAAAAGAAAAAGUCAAUAGCGAAAGGACGCUGUGUUCAGCCGUGUUUUUCUGAUUUGAUACGAAAUACGUGCUAUAAUGUUGAUGCGAAAAUUUUCACUGUGCGAAGCGUCUCAAAACAAAACAAAACACGGCGGAAACCGGAAAGGUGUGAGGUGCAAAAUGUGACACACGUCCUGCAGGGCAGAUGCUAUUAAAUGGAGUAAGAGGAGCGAGCAACUACGGCGAGCACGACGCGCAAAGUCCCCUGGGCGCGCCCAGACUUCGGCCGAGAGAGAUAAAGCGACCAUGCUGAAGCUGUCCCAAAAAGCCAUCCGACUGUUAAUUACGGCGGGAUCGCCCCGCCAACCCCUGCAAGCGCGACGACGGCAUAUAGGUUGCGCAAAGGAGGUGGCAGGUCGUUCCAACACCGUGUGGCAGCAAAUCUGAAAGAUCCCCUGAACGCCACGGUGCGAUGCUUUGGGGUGGCAAAGAUGUGUGAGCAGACCCUUCUGGAGUGACCCUCCCUGCUCCCGGCCCAGUCAAGCUUAUCGUACAAAUACCUUGGUCUAUGUGUGGCAAUGAUACCAAACAUCAUGGUAGCGAGAUGUAAUUUUUUACGAGCAGCCAUUUUCAGUAUAUUGGCAGCGUUGAGGAAUGGGGUGACAUGCGCUCGAGGUGGCACUGUGAAGCAGAAGCGGGCACAAGCAUUUUGCACUCUUUGCACCAGCUUGGCAGACCUGGCCAUGAGACAGGGUCCAUACACAGUGUCACAGUAGUUGAGCUUACUGAGGACAAGGGACUCACAUAGUGCAAUUCGUAUACUCUCGCAUAGAUAUGGCCUUAGCUUGUAUAAUAUUUUGAGUCUGUAGAAGCAGUUUCUUGCGCAUUCAGUAAUGUGGGUUUCAAAUCUUAGCUGGCUCUCGAAAAUGAGUCCCAGAUUUCUAACCUUAUCCACUUUCUCGAUCCGUUCUCCAUUAAUCUGGAUAUCGAGAGACUUAUUCGCUAGUUUGAUAGUGUUUUUAGGGGUUCCUAUCAGUAUUAACUGAGAUUUUUUAGGGUUCAGGGUAAGACCGUUCGAGACGCACCAAGCAGAAACCCUCCCCAAGUCAUCAUUUACCUUGAUCACAGCUGCGUCACACUUAUCAGGCUCAAAUGGAAGGUACAAUUGCAAGUCAUCUGCAUAAAUGUGAUAGUUGCAAUAUUUGAUGCUAUUUAUGAUGUCAGCACUGUACAAGAUGUAUAAAAUUGGCCCUAAUAUCGAGCCCUGGGGGACCCCGCGAGUCACCUGGUGGACCUGCGAACGCAAAGAAAUACCAUCCUCCCGCCUCAGUUCCACGUACUGCUUUCUUCCUGACAAGUAACUAUGGAACCAUUUUACAGAACUACUAUCAAGACCAUAAUAAUGCAGUUUAGACAGCAAGAGCGAGGUGUUGAUAGAAUCGAAGGCACGCGA